rnacentral:rRNA from 1 species
CCCUUAGAUGUUCUGGGCCGCACGCGCGCUACACUGAUGCAUUCAACGAGCCUAGCCUUGACCGAGAGGUCCGGGUAAUCUUUGAAACUGCAUCGUGAUGGGGCUAGAUUAUUGCAAUUAUUAAUCUUCAACGAGGAAUGCCUAAUAAGCGUGAUUCAUCAAAUCGCGUUGAUUACGUCCCUGCCCUUUGUACACACCGCCCGUCGCUCCUACCGAUUGAGUGUGUUGGUGAGGAGUUUGGAUUGGCCUCGGAAGGUGGUUCGCCACCGUCCGUAGCUGAGAAGUUCUCCAAACCGCCCCACUUAGAGGAAGGAGAAGUCGUAACA